rnacentral:rRNA from 1 species
GACCUCGGAUCAGGUAGGGAUACCCGCCUGAAACUUAAGCAUAUCAAUUAAAGCGGGAGGAAA